UACGUAGGUGGCAAGCGUUAUCCGGAAUUAUUGGGCGUAAAGAGCGCGCAGGUGGUUGAUUAAGUCUGAUGUGAAAGCCCACGGCUUAACCGUGGAGGGUCAUUGGAAACUGGUCGACUUGAGUGCAGAAGAGGGAAGUGGAAUUCCAUGUGUAGAGGUGAAAUGCGUAGAGAUAUGGAGGAACACCAGUGGCGAAGGCGGCUUCCUGGUCUGUAACUGACACUGAGGCGCGAAAGCGUGGGGAGCAGACAGGAUUAGAUA
rnacentral:rRNA from 1 species